UACGGAGGGUGCAAGCGUUAAUCGGAAUCACUGGGCGUAAAGCGCGCGCAGGCGGCGAUCUACGUCUGGGGUGAAAGCCCGGAGCUCAACUCCGGGACUGCCUUGGAUACGGGAUCGCUUGAGGAUUGGAGAGGCAAGGGGAAUUCCACGUGUAGCGGUGAAAUGCGUAGAUAUGUGGAGGAACACCUGUGGCGAAGGCGCCUUGCUGGCCAAUUUCUGACGCUGAGGCGCGAAAGCGUGGGGAGCAAACAGG
rnacentral:rRNA from 1 species